CCUACGGGGUGCAGCAGUCGAGAAUCAUUCACAAUGGGGGAAACCCUGAUGGUGCGACGCCGCGUGGGGGAAUGAAGGUCUUCGGAUUGUAAACCCCUGUCAUGUGGGAGCAAAUUAAAAAGAUAGUACCCCAAGAGGAAGAGACGGCUAACUCUGUGCCAGCAGCCGCGGUAAUACAGAGGUCUCAAGCGUUGUUCGGAAUCACUGGGCGUAAAGCGUGCGUAGGCUGUUUCGUAAGUCGUGUGUGAAGGGCGCGGGCUCAACCCGCGGACGGCACAUGAUACUGCGAGACUAGAGUAAUGGAGGGGGAACCGGAAUUCUCGGUGUAGCAGUGAAAUGCGUAGAUAUCGAGAGGAACACUCGUGGCGAAGGCGGGUUCCUGGACAUUAACUGACGCUGAGGCACGAAGGCCAGGGGAGCGAAAGGGAUUAGAUACCCUUGUAGUC
rnacentral:rRNA from 1 species